rnacentral:misc_RNA from 1 species
GCCUCUAUCAUUGGGGAUGUUCAAGUUGGAAGAGGAUCAUCUAUUUGGUACGGAUGUGUUUUGAGAGGUAUGACAUGAUUUAUUAAGACUACUUGUACUAUGCAUGGUGCAUUUAACUUUUUGUUUAUUAAUUGGACAUAAUUGGAUAGAUUACUCUCUGUUUCAUUCUUAAAGUUUGACAUGGAAGAAUUUCUCAUCAUGAAAUUUGUAACAAAAAAUAUUAUGUUAUAGUUAUAAUUAUUGUACUGACAAAUGAAAUUGAUGUGCCCAUAUUGUCAGAGACCGACUUCUUAGUGCAACCAUUUUUUUUUUCUUUCUCUUUGUUCUUUGUCCUUUUCCUAUUUCUGCUGUCUGCAUCUGUUCAGAUAUAUUGUGAAUUUUUUUCUCCUUGACUUGACCAGCCACUGGCUUUAUGAAGAUGAUGAACAUCUGAACAAUUCAUAGGAGAGUCUAAAUCAUCACUGCAUGAGUUCAUAUGAUUAUCUUUUGAAAAUUUAGUCCAUAUUUUAGAGUUCUCCCCGGCUGAAGGUAAGAGUUGCAAUCCUCUAAUUGCCCGUACAUUGGGAAGUUACAACUUACAAGUUGCUUUUUAAGUUCUAUAUGUUUCAACGGGGUGUGAAUUCCUGAAAUUUUUGUGGCUUUCUUUUUCUUUUUUUCCCUUAAUAAUCUUGUACUUUUUUGCUUUGUGGAUAGGUGAUGUGAACAGCAUU